rnacentral:lncRNA from 1 species
GCGAGAUCAGCCAUGGUGUCGUCCCUCGCUUUCUCUACUUGCCCAAGUAGCUUCUCGCGGUCAAUCGACCUCUGCUCCAGCUUUUGCACCCUGGCGGCGUCAGCUUGAAUGUGAGCCUCCAGGUCGCUCGCCUUGGUGCGCAGAGGCACGAUCUUGCUUUCUAGUUCAACUUUUUCUUGGGCAAGUUCAUGGACUUUGC